AGCCCCGGGCUGCGGUUACUCUCCAGGCGUAGUGAGGACAAUUACAAUCACAGAAACAGAAGGGGAGAUUAAAAUAAUACCCAAGUUAUCACUGGAGUGUUCCCUUCAUUAGGAGGAGCCAUUUUCCAGUGUGCUCGCCUGGCUCUACCACUUCCGGAGCGGCAUGGCGCGCUGUACAGGGAACCUCAGCGGGGAGGCCGUCCUGCCGCCUUUUCCUUAAGGCAACCUACUUUCUGCCCCUAUGGAAUCAGUCUCUCCCUCCAUGUUACUUUCAAAGAAGGUACUCAGGGCUAUCAAUCCGUCCUUCCUGCUGAUGGUACCUGCCCUCAACCAUCUUUUUACAUUCUCUGUGACUCUGAUCUUCAUCAGGAAUAAAGGAGGCCUGCUAUUCAGCUAUAUUCUUACUGAAGAAUAUAAAGAUCUUAUCGGGGAUGACAUGCCUAGAAUCACACUACUCUCAGAUAGAACUGAGAUUCAGACCAUGUGAACUUGUGGACUUUAGAUACGGCAGCAGGGGAAUGAAGAACCUGCACUCUUUGAAGUCUGCAUUUGCCAGGUACAGAGAAAGCAGGCUGCAUAUCUGUGAUGACUUGGUGUUUAUGUUCCUCCAGAAUCUGAUCAUUGCUGUAACAUUACAAAGAUAUCAUUAAAACCAUCAGAACAAAGUCCUCCUUCAUCGAUGGAAUGAGUGCCAUUUUAAAAGAUGCUUCAGAAAGCUGCCAUGCUCCAUGUGAGGGCCCAGUGGAGAUGUGCCUAUUUAUGAACCAGGAAAUGGACUUGAUCUUGUCUCUUCCCAUGUCAUUGUUCAGCUUCUUGGCUCUUCAUGUGCAUUUCUAUCCAGCCCUGGGAUGAUAUAAAAUGCAUCGAGCAAAUCUACUUUCAUCUGGAUCUCAAAGCAUGCCCAUGUGAACUGUACAUCCUAAGAAGAGGAUUUGCUUGGUAGUAGAAACUGUAGAGAGUCCGUACCAGGGCCUGACAUCAUGGAGGUAGGGUAGUCCUUGUAAUCCCAUAGCAGUAAGGCUACCAGAGUGUGAUUCAGCUGGAGGGUAGUUGGGAUGAACCUUGGGAAUGCAAAUUAGGCCCAGAGUCAUUGAGCAGAUGGGCCAAC